ACCAGCAAAUAAAUGAUGCUGGGUAUGAUCAUCUGUGUCCUGUAAGCUCCAAACUUCUACUGGCUUUCCAUAAAAAUAUCUGUCCUCCCAAAAUACUGGCAUCAAAUUCACAUGUCAAUGGCAAACUAAGCUGUUCCAUGAAUUAUAAAUGGUACCUUUUCACCACUACUUUCAAAAUUGCUAUGAAACAUUCAUUGAUUUAAUGAUUUAUUUUUUCAGUGUAAUAUUUAAUCCCCCAUGGACUGCACAGUGACAAAACACAGCAGCCGGCUGUUUGGAUACAACAUACAUCUCCACUCAGUUUGAUUAUUAUUUUAAAUAUAAAGGAGACACAAUAUAGAGCUUAAAUUCCUUCAUAAUUUGAACUUCAAUUGUCUAAUUGUUGUUAUUAAACUUUCUCAGUAUUCCAUUAAAACAGUCAACACUUUUAUCCAAAGCGACUUACAAUAAGUGCAUUCAACUAUAAGGUUACGAACACAGAACAGCAUGAGUGAAUCAUGUGUGUAAAUUUACUAAACACCACAAAAAAUAAACCUGGCCUCAGUCAAAUACUUAUCCCAUGAAGUAACCGCUGCUCACGUCACCCGCUCGCGUCAUCAGCUGAUGGACUCGUCCAAUCAGAGCCUCGUAAACGCCGUGCAGCAGCGUCGAGUGUCCCGCAGACAGGAAGCGGGUCGUGUUUAGCUUGUCCCGUACGAGUGACUCUGUCUUCGGGGUAAAUAACUUGCUGAAGUCGACACGACGCUGUUCCCUGGAGGAGAAGAUGAGUGCGUGUGGAGGCAGAGCCGCGGGCCCGGUGUGGACGAGUCGAGGCGGAGAAGACGGAUGCACAGUCCCUGAGUUACGGUGAGCUAGAGACGCCAUGCUAACCACUAAGCUAACCCUACAUCUGAAAGCAUGUCCGCCACUCUUUGGGAUAGCGAGAAAGUUGCUAAAAUACGAAUACAGCAUCGAGUGCUGGAGCAGAUCUAGUGCAUGUGUAAAUAUGUAUGAAUUACUUAGAUGUAACAGUUUGUUCUCGUUAAGUUUUUUCAUCAACGUGACUUUUUUCUGUAUGUUUUCACAGCCUCAGCCCCCCCCCCCCCACACACACACACACAAACAAAGAGGCGUUAGGCUGAGACGCUGAAAGUCCGGAUUUAAAGUGCAGAAAAUUAAGCCAUUGAAUCUGCCUGUCCAUGACGUACAAAGACACACUAUGAGCCAGUAUGAUCCGACCAGACCUUACAUCAGCAUUGAGGAGUUGUCGGAGAAGAAAGAGGCUGAUUGAAGCGGGACAGACGACAUGGAUCCAUCCUUCCACAGCCAGGAGCACACCGACCUGUGUCCCACACUUCAUAUAAGACUGGAAGCUACACUGAUCUCACAGCUACACACCACAGACGUCUACACACUGGAGAAGAGUCCCACAAAGAAGUCAUGACCCAGAGGCUGCAGAGAAACAUUUCAAGCCUCACCUGAGAUUUUGUACAAUAUUUUUGCUGUAUGUAAAUAAAGCUUUCACUCCACAUA